NCUCGGUGGCGCAUGCCUGUAGUCCCAGCUACUUGGGAGGCUGAGGUGGGAGUAUCGCUUGAGCCCAGGAGUUCUGGGCUGUAGUGCGCUAUGCCAAUUGGGUGUCUGCACUAAGUUCGGCAUCAAUAUGGUGACUUCACGGGAGCGGGGGACCACCAGGUUGCCUAAGGAGGGGUGAACUGGCCCAGGUCGAAAACAGAGCAGGUCAAAACUCCCGUGCUGAUCAGUAGUGGGAUCGCACCUGUGAAUAGCCACUGCACUCCAUCCAGCCUGGGCAACAUAGCGAGACCCCGUCUCU
rnacentral:SRP_RNA from 1 species